rnacentral:rRNA from 1 species
GAUGAACGCUGGCGGCGUGCCUAAUACAUGCAAGUCGAACGCUUUGUCUUUAAUUGAUAUGAAGAGCUUGCUCUGAUUUGAUUUUAUCUGACAAAGAGUGGCGAACGGGUGAGUAACACGUGGGUAACCUACCUCUUAGCAGGGGAUAACAUUUGGAAACAAGUGCUAAUACCGUAUAACACUAACAACCGCAUGGUUGUUAGUUGAAAGAUGGUUCUGCUAUCACUAAGAGAUGGACCCGCGGUGCAUUAGCUAGUUGGUAAGGUAAUGGCUUACCAAGGCGAUGAUGCGUAGCCGAGUUGAGAGACUGAUCGGCCACAAUGGGACUGAGACACGGCCCAUACUCCUACGGGAGGCAGCAGUAGGGAAUCUUCCACAAUGGGCGCAAGCCUGAUGGAGCAACGCCGCGUGUGUGAUGAAGGGUUUCGGCUCGUAAAACACUGUUAUAAGAGAAGAACGACAUUGAGAGUAACUGUUCAGUGUGUGACGGCAUCUUAUCAGAAAGGAACGGCUAAAUACGUG